rnacentral:rRNA from 1 species
AGUGAACGCUGGCGGUAGGCCUAACACAUGCAAGUCGAACGGCAGCACAGUAAGAGCUUGCUCUUACGGGUGGCGAGUGGCGGACGGGUGAGGAAUAUAUCGGAAUCUACUUUUUCGUGGGGGAUAACGUAGGGAAACUUACUCUAAUACCGCAUACGACCUACGGGUGAAAGCAGGGGAUCUUCGGACCUUGCGCGAUUGAAUGAGCCGAUGUCGGAUUAGCUAGUUGGCGGGGUAAAGGCCCACCAAGGCGACGAUCCGUAGCUGGUCUGAGAGGAUGAUCAGCCACACUGGAACUGAGACACGGUCCAGACGCCUACGGGAGGCAGCAGUGGGGAAUAUUGGACAAUGGGCGCAAGCCUGAUCCAGCCAUACCGCGUGGGUGAAGAAGGCCUUCGGGUUGUAAAGCCCUUUUGUUGGGAAAGAAAAGCAGCAGGUUAAUACCCAGCUGUUCUGACGGUACCCAAAGAAUAAGCACCGGCUAACUUCGUG